GCCCGCCUAGUUCAAUCGGAUAGAGCGUCAGACUCUUAGGAGCACAGGGCUUGAACUGGGCGAUCGGGUGAUCUGAAGGCUGCGAGUUCGACCCUCGCGGUGGGCU
rnacentral:tRNA from 1 species